AAUGCAAUUGCUAAACCAUAUGAUAAAAGUAAGUUUCAUUUUAUAUGAAACUACUAAAGUGUCCUCCAAAAUGGUUAUGUCAUUUCUCAUACUCACCAGCAAU
rnacentral:pre_miRNA from 1 species